rnacentral:rRNA from 1 species
AGAUUGAACGCUGGCGGCAGGCCUAACACAUGCAAGUCGAGCGCGAAAGUUCCUUCGGGAAUGAGUAGAGCGGCGGACGGGUGAGUAACGCGUAGGAAUUUGCCCAGUAGUGGGGGACAACUCGGGGAAACUCGAGCUAAUACCGCAUACGCCCCAAGGGGGAAAGCAGGGGAUCUUCGGACCUUGCGCUAUUGGAUAAGCCUGCGUCGGAUUAGCUAGUUGGUGGGUAAGGCCUACCAAGGCAACGAUCCGUAGCUGGUCUGAGAGGAUGAUCAGCCACACUGGGACUGAGACACGGCCCAGACUCCUACGGGAGGCAGCAGUGGGGAAUAUUGGACAAUGGGGGCAACCCGUGAUCCAGCCAUCGCCGCGUGGUGUAGAAGAAGGCCGUUAGGGUUAGUAAAGCACUUUCAGGUUAGGGAAGGAAAAGCGUGGCGGUCUAAUACGUCCGUCGG